rnacentral:rRNA from 1 species
AGAGUUUGAUCAUGGCUCAGAUUGAACGCUGGCGGCAUGCCUUACACAUGCAAGUCGAACGGCAGCACGGACUUCGGUCUGGUGGCGAGUGGCGAACGGGUGAGUAAUACAUCGGAACGUGCCUAGUAGUGGGGGAUAACUACUCGAAAGAGUGGCUAAUACCGCAUGAGAUCUAUGGAUGAAAGCAGGGGACCUUAGGGCCUUGUGCUACUGGAGCGGCCGAUGGCAGAUUAGGUAGUUGGUGGGAUAAAAGCUUACCAAGCCGACGAUCUGUAGCUGGUCUGAGAGGACGAUCAGCCACACUGGGACUGAGACACGGCCCAGACUCCUACGGGAGGCAGCA